GAAAUGCGAUAAGUAAUGUGAAUUGCAGAAUUCAGUGAAUCAUCGAAUCUUUGAACGCACAUUGCGCCCGCCAGUAUUCUGGCAGGCAUGCCUGUUCGAGCGUCAUUUCAACCAUCAAGCCCCGCGCUUGUGUUGGGGACCUGCGGCUGCCGCAGGCCCUGAAAACCAGUGGCGGGCUCGCUGUCACACCGGGCGUAGUAGAUUUUAUCUCGCUCAGGGCGUGCUGCGGGUUCCGGCCGUUAAAAAGCCUUUUUUACCCAAGGUUGACCUCGGAUCAGGUAGGAAGACCCGCUGAACUUAAGC
rnacentral:misc_RNA from 1 species